UCUGGUUCAGGGUUGUU
rnacentral:rRNA from 1 species